GGAUUAUGGGGCAGCUGCCCCCUUUCUUCCACCGACAUCCAGCACCAGGAUUGCCAACUGGGGAGGAGCCUGAGACACCCAAGACACCCCUGCUGGGAGUUAGAGGGAACACACCCCAGGUGCCAAUCCCACGCGGCUCAACCUCUGCAGGGACUGAAAUGGGAGAACCGAUAGAGCAUUCUUUGGCUGUUUAAUUCAGUUGCUGGUGCAGGCAAAUCGACCGUUCUCAACGAAAUGAGGCACCAGCUCACCAGGUUGGAUGGAGGGUUUAAAAUACUGCUGAUUCCUCUGAAAAAAUAUGAACGGUUCUUACUUGAAAUGACUAGAGUGAAAGUGGAUGAAAUCGAAUUUCUCGCAAAGACAACUUGCAACUCUCGCUUCGACAUCAACAAACUGGAUUGAGAAGAGAGAAGUCAUUGUUUUCCUCGACGGAUUUGAUGAAGUGUGUCUAGAUUUUAGAGAAAAAAAUUAUGGAAAUUAUGAUUGCAUUAAAUGAUGCAAGAGUCCCACUCUUUAUCGGGACCAGGCCUCAUGAAGUGCACCACAUUCAAGAGAAGAUAAAACAUUUGACGAUAGUUGAGAUCGAACCCCUUCUUGAUAUAUGAAGCAAAGCAAAUCGAGUUUCUGCGGAUCGUUGCUGGAAAGAAUAAGCAAGAAAUCGAACAAUUGAUGAACAUGUUCAGAGACCAAGACAUUCUGGGAAACCCACUCCAUCUCACCUUGUUGGCAGAGUACAAAUGUGAUGGAAACUUGUACGAAAUCUUUGACAAAAUAGUGCGGUAUUAGUCAAGAGAGCCAUGCUUUGUCUUUUAGUGAUCGCUUUUCACUAUAGAAAUUAAUGACCAAAAUCAAAUACAAAAUAUUUAUUCUGUGACAAUUGUUGUAUAUUGAUUAGACUAAUAAAUAAUAAUAAUAUUCUGCCUUGGCGGAGAGGAGUCCUCUUUAGCCGGAGGAUGCGGCUCUCCGCCCAAGAAACCGGCCACCGCAACGACCAUCGAGGGAUCUCAGCUUGGGACGACCCAGAGUCGACCCCGCUGUGCCCUCAACCCUCCCAUCAACGAGCGACAGCCGGCACCCCUGAAGCUAAGAAAUAAUAUUUCCGGACGAGGGGUGGCUCCAAGUCUGCGAAGAAGACCGGCCGGGGAAGUGAAUUCGAGUUCCAGCGUCCAACCUCCCUGACGAGCUGCUGGGGGCCAGCGUGGAAGAGCGUCAAGCCUUGGCUAACGCCCGGCUGCUCACCAUGCUUCUAACUCAGCCAAGUCAACUUUGAGAAAACCAGCCCAAGCUGACAUCGAAGUUCCUGGCCAUCAUUCUGAUCAGUCGAACAGGCCUCGCGGCUCCUGGUGGAUGGUGGCUACGUGGGACCAAGAUUGCAGUGAGGACCGGCGCCCUGAACCCGCCUUCGGAGACGACCCCGGCUAUUCUGAUUUGUCCAGGCGCCAAUUCCCGACUUGGCCUCUUUUGUAGGCCCGUCGGGUCUUGUGUAUUACUGUUCAUCCAGAAUAAAUACAGAAUAAUAAUAAGGAACAGUGAUGGCGACAGGCAAUCGGCGGGCGCUGCUUUUUUCCCCAUGCUGGCCAUGUAAAAUGCCCUCGCGCGGUCGCCUCUCAAAGCGCUCUUCAUUGGGCAAAACAAAUUUUAAUUGGUACUAAUGAAUGGCUGAAGAUUCGCACUUAAACAUAAGUCAGAACCAAAAUCGAUAAAUUGAUUGAUUUUGAGAAAUCGGUGAAUGCAUUUCAUACUCUCUCGCGCGCGAGGUCUGGUCACGUGAUGUGGGCGAGCGAGCUGAUUGGCUGUUGGCCGCUCCCACUCUUAGCGUCAAGUUUCACUUGAUGCGGGCGAGCGCUCUAAAAGUAAAGGGAGCGACCAGCAACCAAUCAGCGCGCUCACCCACGUCACGUGACCUUUUUCCCGCCAGUGAGCAUGAAAUAUAAUAGUUCACCAUAGAAGAUACCAUUAAAUAAUGAACUUAAUUGCAAUUUUAAAAUAAAUUGUUCACUUUUAAACCGAUUCAAGUUAUGAAAAUGUCACCGAAAAUUCGCAUAGUCUAGUUUUGGUACAUGCCACGCCUCUUUUCAAGAAUUUUAAGCAAAGUGACGUUUCCUUCUUCCUUCGACUAUUGGUAUUAAAAAAAUACUAGGUUUUCCAGUCGAUUUUUUAAUUUGCGUGACACCGGCCGCCGAAGAGGGGGCGUAACCGGGAGAAAACAAUAUGGUGGAAAAGACAGGGCAGGCAAGAGUGCAUUGUUCGCCGCUAAAAGGGGGUGUCGUUCUCUGCCAUAUUGUAUUCCCUCGGUUACGCCCCCCUCUUUGGCGGCGGGUUUCACGCAUAUCAAAAAAUCGGCUGGAAAAUCUAGUAUUUUCAAAUUCAUAACCCGGUUGAAGGAAACAUUCCUAUAAGUAGGAACGUCACCCGUUUAAAAAUCCCGCCAGUUACGCCCCCUUGGAAUGAUUAAUUUUAAAAGCGAAUUCAGUUUGGACCAAGUUAGUUUAAUUAUCAGCCUUUUUGUUAGAUGAUUUUCAUUUGGGAACAUAAAAAUGCCAGUUUUUGUUUCAUUUUAAAUUUUAUUUCAUAUAAAAAUAACUGAAUCAUACAAACACGUGGAUAUGCAAAUUCCUCUCUUGAAAUAUUGAAUGGAGCGCUAUAUAGCAAAAAAUUAAUCAUCUGAGCUGUAAACAGUGCAACUAGCUCGUUUCGGAAAAUAAAAAACACAGUGAGAGUGCUCCGACAACAAAAAACACAACAUUUAUUCACAGCGUUCGCCGACACAACAGAAGCAAUCGAGACAGAAGGCACUUCUUUCCCCGGGCUAAACGAAUAAUAGACUUUGUCGCCUUCCAACUCCGAUCUAGUCGGAAAUAAAAUAAAAUAGAGAUUCCGCUUUCGAGUCUUGCUUGCAGCCAACACACGCACGUCAUGAACUUGCCCCUUUUCUUAAUCAUCGUGAUUUUGUGCCAACGCAAAAGUAAUGGUUUAUUCUCUUUUGUUUCAAAUCGGAAUCUACACGAUAUAAUAAAGAAUAUAUAAUAUAUAAUGUGGUUUAAUCCUGGCUA